CCCCAGAACGCGGUGAUUUCUCCAAGCACAUAGCCGAUGCACUGUGUGGAAACUACCAUUUCUGAGCGUUCUGGGC